UAACGGAUCGCGGUCAUGUUUAUAUAUCGCUUACAAAAUCACAGACCAUUAAAUCGAACACAAAAGACUGAUCUAUCGUAAAACAAGCAAUUAUAAAUAUUGAACCGUUUGAAAUGUCAGAUAUGUGGCCAUUUUCACAAUAUUUUAGGGAUAUUAUAUAAAAUCGGCAGAUAUGGCAUUUGCAUUAUCCGGCUGAAAUGGGUGACACGCCAUCAAGGCCUUCGGGCAGGCCUGGUUAUAUCAAUACAUCACCUUAUCCAAGACAAGGAUCAAACCAUGAACCGUUCAUGCACCAAAUAAAUUAUUCCUCGGAAAUGGGGAGAUCUGUUCAUUCAAUAAAAC